rnacentral:rRNA from 1 species
CUGCUGCCUCCCGUAGGAGUUUGGGCCGUGUCUCAGUCCCAAUGUGGCCGUCCACCCUCUCAGGCCGGCUACUGAUCGUCGCUUUGGUAGGCCGUUACCCUGCCAACUGGCUAAUCAGACGCGGGUCCAUCGCAUACCACCUCGGUUUUUCACACUGGACCAUGCGGUCCCGUGCGCUUAUGCGGUAUUAGCACCUGUUUCCAGGUGUUAUCCCCCGGUACGUACGGCGACGGUUACCACGCGUUACUCCACCCGUCCG